ensembl:lncRNA
CCAACCCCUAUAACGUGAAAUUAUCCCAAAAGGUGCUAUCAGAAAUUUCCAACUGCUGGGAACACAGCCUGGGUGUGUGGAGCAGAACAACGUGGGCUCCUCCCCGCGUCCCUCAGCUCCUGUCCCAAACAGCGUGGGGCAGUGGGGUGCUCUGCGUGGGUCAGAUGGGGCAGAAGGGGCAGAUUGAGGGGUUCUGGGUGGGUUGGAAGGGGCAGAUUGAGGGAUCUUGGGUGGGGCAGGAGAGGCAGAUUGAGGGGUUCUGGGUGCGGUAGAAGAGGCAGACUGAGGGGUUCUGUGUGGGGCAGAAGGAGCAGAUUGAGGGGUUCUGGGUGGGUCAGAAGGGGCAGAUUGAGGGGUUCUGGGUGGGUCAGAAGGGGCAGAUUGAGGGGUUCUGGGUGGGUCAGAAGGAGCAGAUUGAGGGGUUCUGGGUGGGUCAGAAGGGGCAGAUUGAGGGGUCCUGGGUGGGUUGGAAGGGGCAGAUUGAGGGGUUCUGGGUGGGGCGGAAGAGGCAGAUUGAGGGGUUCUGGGUGGGUCAGAAGGGGCAGAUUGAGGGGUCAUGGGUGGGGCAGAAGGGGCAGAUUGAGGGAUCCUGGGUGGGGCAGAAGAGGCAGACUGAGGGGUUCUGUGUGGGUCGGAAGGGGUAUGUUAAGGGUCCGUGUGGGUCUGAAGGGGCAGACUGAAGAGCUCUGGGUGGACCAGACCUCCCCUCAUCCCAUUCCUGGCUGUGAGCCGCUGCUGGGCCCCGCCAGCCCCUCAGAGCACUCGGCACAGCUGAGGGAAGAGCAGAGCUGACCACGCGAGCACCAGAGGGCGCAUUUAACAAAGCGAAAUCCAUCGACGCGCAGCAGCAGCGGCACAGAGGGAGUUAAAAGUCACCACAGACACAACCGUCAGUGUGGCCAGGCCAUUUCGGCCUGAGGAAGGAGGGCGAGAUCCCCUCACAACGUUCAUCAAACAGCAGCGCGGUCUCUCGAGGCCGCUUUUCUGCGCGGUACCACAGCGCACCCCGCGAGCCGCGCUCCACCUCAGCGCUAACGGUCCC